UACAGAGGUCCCAAGCGUUGUUCGGAUUCACUGGGCGUAAAGGGUGCGUAGGCGGUCGGAUAAGUCUGAUGUGAAAUCUUCGAGCUCAACUCGGAAACUGCAUCGGAAACUAUCUGGCUUGAGGAUUGGAGGGGAGACUGGAAUACUUGGUGUAGCAGUGAAAUGCGUAGAUAUCAAGUGGAACACCAGUGGCGAAGGCGAGUCUCUGGACAUUUCCUGACGCUGAGGCACGAAAGCCAGGGGAGCAAACGGG
rnacentral:rRNA from 1 species